rnacentral:tRNA from 1 species
CGCGGGAUGGAGCAGUCUGGUAGCUCGUCGGGCUCAUAACCCGAAGGUCAGGGGUUCAAAUCCUCUUCCCGCAA